rnacentral:lncRNA from 1 species
CUUUCCUUGAGCACAAACUGGCUUAUUACAAAAGGAGGUACUUAGUAGCACAUAUGUGAUUCCCUGGGAUAAAUCUUCUCUGCAUAGGUGAAAAAACAACUUCAGAAAGGGGUGAGCUUCAGCAGAGUAGGGGACAUUCCCCAUUGAUUUUUUAGUAAAGUAUGUCAGUAUAUUUCAUAUAUCAUAUAGUAAUUCACAUGGAGCUGAGUUCUUCACAGCAGUAUGUUUUCAGCGCAAGAAACCAUUUUUAUCGUGUUUUAUCACUCUUCUUUUUUCCCAGCACACAUACCCAUAAGCGCCUGCCUCACUGUAAGAGUACAAAAUGGAUCUGAGAGGUGAUUUUGCCCACCAAGUCAAAAUGGUCGUAUUAUCCCUUCUCAUUAGCGAGAACACUAGCCUCUUCUAAUUUAGAAAUGCAUGUUCCAGAACCAGACAAGUGAAAAGAAAGGGAGAAGGAACUGUUAAAAGUGGAGCUUUGUGAAGGUAAACAUCUCUAACGUGCCCAGAAGUGAUGCUGAUAGCAUUCUUGAGAUGUGCAAGCCUCUUCCAUGGAGCACUGAGGAGAAGCCUGGAAACAGAGGUGACUGCACACAGCUCAGACACCUAAGCUGAAAAGUGGCAGAGACACUACUUCUGGGACUUGCUGUCUUACUCCAAGACCCUUUCUGGAAACUGGAGUGGUCCAUACAGAAAAUUACAAGGGUCUAGAAGAAUACAAAUGAUAGCCAGCAGGGAGGAGGGUGCAAAACAAUCUAAAACCUGCUUGAGAACAAGAUACAUCCAACACAUUUCUUCAGAAGUUCAGAAGAGGCCCCUGCUUGCCCCUGCCGGUUCUGUACAGACAGGUACUAAACUUCACAUCUGGGUAUGGCAGAAAUACUGUAUUCAGUUGUCUAAACUUCUAUCACUGGCAUGUCUGCUAAGGCAAAAAUUAGUCAAUUAG